AAAAUUCUCAUUUCCUGCCGUCUAUUUAUUUUGGGGUGUGGCUCGGGUCUUGUUUUUGGAGUAUGACUUCUCCGACAUUGGUUGGUCAUCUUUUCAGUUACUGCUAUCUCUUCGGAGUUUAUUUAGAUUUUCUGCAAAAAUGGUUCCUAAAAUUAUGAGAAGUUUUAUAAAUGCUUGUCCAAAAUUAAAAACUGCCUCUUGUAGUUCGAAGAUUUUAUGAGCGGGCAUGGUAUAGAUAAACAAGUAAUUAAUGAUUAAAAUUGGGAUACAGUUGUAUGGUAGAACUAACAAACAAAGGAUAAAAAUCAGAUGAAAGAUAGGAUAUUGCCCCAUGUUCGUCCAUAUUUUUGUAACUGGGGACUCUGAAAUAUUUGCUUGAACCUUAUUAAUUGUAGAAUUUGAAUGAUUGGUAGGUUCGCAGUUCUCCUGUUUGAUAUCUUUAGGGAGUGGUGUGAUAUGAUUGAGCUGGUUGUCAGGUUUGCAGUUUUUAACAUCGGGGAAGAGUGAUGCAAAUCGUCUUGUUGCAAAAAUGGCAGGGUCUAAAUGCCUGAAAGGUUCGCUGCUGGUGGGUUUGAACCUUAAUGACUCUGUUGGGAAUAAUUCGGGUGUUAAAUGUUUGAAAGGGAACGUGUAAUUGGGGUUGUGCUUUAUAUGAUAUGUGCUAACGGCGGGUGGUGAUAUAUAACGGAUUUUUUCUGUAUACAGUUUAAGUUUGUUGACGUGGAUUGUGUCAGUGUCUCUUUGAAGUGGUUGAUUUGGUCGAUCUAUGCGGACCACAUUUGGUGAAAUAAUUUCUAAUAUUGUGUGAGGUCCUGUGAAAUAUGGCGCAAGUUUCCCUGUAUUUGGGUGGUGAUAUAAUUUUACUAACACUAGAUCACCUACUUCGAAAUGUGGUUGCUUGUGUCGUUGGUCAUAAAUGUUUUUGUCUUGUAAAUGUUUGUUUUGUGUGCGUGUGUGUGCAAUUUUUCUAGCUUUGUCGAUAUCUGGGUACGGUGUGUUAUGAUUAGAGAUUUCUGGGGGUAGGAUACCAAACAUUAAGUAUAUGGGUGGAAAACCUGUGGUAGAGUGGGGUGUCUUGUUAUAUAUAAGUGUAACCUUCUUGACCAACUUGGUCCAUGCGACCUUAGGAUUUUCUAGGUGUAAUAACCUAAGUUUUCCCGUGAGGGUGGCGUUCAGGCGUUCACAUAGGCCGUUGGCUUGUGGGUUGUUGCUGGUUGUGAUUAACGGGUGAAUAUUUCUAUUAAGGAGAAAACUACGAAAUUUGGGUGAAGUGAAGGCAGGGGCUCUAUCCGUAAGAAGGCGUUUUGGAGAACCAUCCUGGAAUACUCGCUUAAGUACCUGUUGGUAGGUGGUGGUAUUGGUCGAUUUAGAUGGAAAAGCCCACGCGUAGCGUGAAAAAUGAUCGACUACCACAUGGAGGUAUAUCUUGGUGUUGCCAUAUUUGGCAAAUCCUGCUAUGGUGUCCAGAGAUAAAAGGUCGAAGGGUUCUUUAGAUUCCGGAGGUUGACUUAAUUCUCCGUAAGUGGGUCCUACUGGACGUUUUGUUAAUUGGCAGGUGGGACAGGUCUUAACUUUUUGUUUAAUAUCUUUUGACAUACCUUGCCAGUAAUAUUGUGUGGAGAUGAUUCGUGACAUUUGGGAAAUACCGGGGUGAUUGUAUUGUGUGUGUACUGUUUGUAAGAGUUGUUGUAUGAGUGGUUUUGGAAGUAUAAUCUUGGUUACACCUUUUCGGGAAACUGUAUGUAAUCCAUUACGAUCAAUGGUCAAAGUAGACUCUUUCGAUGGAGGAGGUUGGUGUGUCUUGAUAAGGGUGGCGUCCAAGAAUCCACAAAACGGGUUACGGGACAAGAGAUCUGCUUCAUAUUGUAGUUUUCCUUUUAUGUAGCGGACCUCAUAUUCGUAACUCGAUAGUCGUAAACUCCAUCGAAACAGUCUGCCGGACGGGUUCUUGAUGGUUUUCAACCACUGCAAUGCGUGAUGGUCAGAAAAUAUAGUAAAUUUUCUGCCCAUAAGAUAGAUGCGAAACUUCUCCACACUCUCAACGAUUGCUAAGCACUCAAGUUCAGAGAUGGAGUAGUUUUUCUCGUGUGGGCGCAAUGUUCGGCUGAAAUACUGAGCUGGAUAUACGUUCCCGUCAGGGUGAACUUGUUUGAGAAUGCCUGCUAUACCGAGGGUGGAUGCAUCGCAAUACACUUGGCAUGGCAGACCUUCUUUGUAAAGGUGUAAAAUGGGGUGUUGUGUGAGGUUUCCUUUCAGGUCAAUGAACGCCUCUUGACAAGCUUCAUUCCAGUUCCACACGACGUCCUUUUUGAGGAGAUUGUUGAGUGGUGCUCGCAAGCGAGCGUAUUCCGGAAUGAAUUUGUUAUAGACGUUCACAGCGCCUAAGAAGGAUUGUAGUGUUUUUCGGUUGUGUGGUUGUUUAAUGGCGUGGAUGAUGUCGGUAUUGCGUGUAAGUGGUGUAAUUGUACCAGCUGUAAUGGUGUAACCAAGAAAAUUUAUGGAUUGCUUAAAAAAUUCGCAUUUUGCGAAGUUAAGUUGUAGUUUCUCCGCUUCGCAAAAGGCGAAAAAUUGUCGCAGGUGGUUUUGAUGCUCCUCCAACGUGUUGGAGUAAAUGAUUAAAUCAUCAAAGUAAUGUGCCACACAGUCAAGUCCGUGUCUCUGUAGGACCUGACUUAUGGCUCGUUCGUAAAUCUGAGGACUGGUUUUUAACCCGAAAGGUAAUCGAGUGGGUUGGUAUAAUCCUUCAAAGGUGGCAAAUGCUAACAGUGGUCGAGAAUCGGGGUGUAUUGGGACUUGCCAAUACGCAGAGGAUAUGUCGGCCGUGGAGAAAUAUUUGGCCUGUGCGAGGCGGUCUAGGAUAUCCUCGAUUCUCGGGAGGGGAUGGACAUCAGAGCUGAUUAGCUCGUUCACCUUCCUAUAAUCGAUACAAAACCGUUUGGUCUUGUCGCGCUUAGUGACGAGGGUGACAGGGCUCGAGAAAGGUGAAAAAGAUUGCUCUAUGAUGCCGUUCUCCAGCAUUUGUUGUAUUUGGUUACGGAUUUCUUGUUGGUCACAUAUCGGAACACGAUAUGGACGUAUGGUGAUUAUUUUUUCGGAAUUCGUGGGUAUUUUUACUGGUGGAAUCCGUAAGCAUGGUACGUUGAAUUUGUCCUGUGAAAAAAUGUGAGUGUACCUUUGUAGAAGUGUUGUGAACUGUGGUGUAUAGUGAGUGUUAGGUGUUGUGUUGUAGUAUGCAUGGGGUAAAGGGUUUUGUUGUGUAUUAGUGUGAGUGUCGAGUUCGUUGUGUGGGUUGGUCAUGUGAGAGUUGUGCAACGGUGUGUGAUCACCUAUGUUUUUGGUAUGCGAGUUAUCCCGCUGUGUGGGUGCGUUUUGGACAGGUUCAUAAGUUGAAGUUGUUGUGGUUUGAUUAUUUGAGGGCAUGUAAAAAAGGCAAUUGACUUUAGUGAAAAAGGGGCAUGUAGAUAAGUGGGUUUUUCUCAAUGAAUGCACGCAAUGGUUGUCAUAGGCGGAAAGUUGGGAUGCGGGGAAAAUUUUUUGUGACAUCGCCUGACACUGCCAGUACGUGCAUACAUUGGACACGUGAUUAAAAUGGUAGGAAAGGGUAGACAAUGGGGCGCCCAGCUGGAAUAUAGUGCAUUUAUUAAAAUCUAUGGUUAAUCUGAAUUUAUGGAGGCUAUUGAUAUUAAGAAUUCCAAAUGGCAAUGGUGCAUUCACUACAUGGAAAUUCUCCUUUCGCGAUAUUUGUCCUAUUGUCAGUGGGAUAGAUAGUUUACCCAUGGUUUUUGCAAAUCCGUUUAGGGUUUGGAGGUGUAGUGAAUGUCCCUCAAGGGUUAAAUUAGGCAGGUGGGUUUUUAGCAUAUGAUAAAUAUUAUAUGGCACUAUACUCAGGCUGGCGCCUGUAUCAAUUAAAAAGGGGCAUGAUACAUUAGGGGCUAGAAAAAGUUUGACAGUCAGUUGGUUUAGGGAGCCUACCUCAGUCUCGAAAGGGCUGCUCUGCUGGGGUGUCUCUGUCUUGACUUGGUUGUUGUGGAAUCGGAACUGGUGAUUUUGGGACCGUUUGCACUGUCCGGACUUUUUCGUGGGUCGUCGGGACUGGUCGACGUCGGCAUUCGCUGUGCCAGUGUCUCGCGCCGCAGAACUUGCAGUUGGACGGUGGAAGAGGUGCAUUCCAUGCACCUGGGCGUCGGGGUGUGCUGUGGUACGGACCCGACAUUGUGGGUGGUUGAUCUUCUCUGGGUCGCGUUGCCGGUACACUGGGCCCGUGGAUCCGCUGUACCAGUCGGAACCAUUCUCCUAGGUUCUCGGGAGGUACUACGCGGACUAGGCGCUGGUCGUUGAAUGGCAGUCCUUCUGUCAGCGUCUCGAGGAUCACCUCCUGUGGAAGUCCUAGUUGCAAUCCCAUGGCGGUUUUCUCCCGGUAAUAGGUCUCUAGGUUGGCUUGCCCAGUAAGCUUCAUGGCGAAAUAUUUCGCAAAGGACGCUUCGCUUGACUCAGGAUAGAGAUCUAGGAGGAUUUGUCUCACCUGGAAGUAGCUCCGGUCGGCCAUCCGAAGUUUCCUGAAGAGCUCCAGGGGUUGUCGCGCCAGAUAGUUUGGCAGGCGGAGUAAUUUUUCUUGUUCUCCCAUGGAUGCGUCUUCCAUUUUUCGGUCGAAUGCUUGGAAAAACUGUGUCGCGUUGUAUGUGCCAUCGAAAGGCGGGAUUGUCGAUUCCGCUCCAUCAGAAAUUUUUACUCGGGACAGGAGCGUUGACAGCUGGUUGACGGCGUCCGCUAGGGGCGCAGUUGUCUCGCCCGUCUCUCUUACUUCCUGCCUCCCUUCCGUGGUUGUUUCCAUCGGGCCGUCCGACUUUAUGCUUAUGGGAUCCUGAUCAAGCUCCAUAAUAUCUUUAUCCUGAUUUAAUUCCAUCUCUUUAUCCUGUCGACUUAUGUAAUAUAAUCCAAAGUUAUUACACUGCAAUAUUUGAUGUAUUACACUGUGGUAGAAUCCUGUCGACUUAACCGUUCUGUGGCAAUAUCGUUGCGGAAUUUCUUGUUGUUGGAUGCGAAUGGUGAGAUUUGAUUGAAGCGCAGUCGUUUGAGUGGAAGUUGCAGCAUACAGUUAGGAAUAAUCAGGACACGUGAUGGGGUUUGAAAAUGAAAGGCAACUGGAUUGGAGGAAAGAAAGCUUGAGAAGAGCGGAGCGAUUUGGAUUGUUAAUUAUCUGAUCACAUGACGGUGAUUAAACUUAGCUGUGGGAUGAGCAGAGGGAGAGAGGCCUCGCGAGUAGAUGUCACCUUGUUGGAAGCGGAAUCACAACUGUCCGAACUCGGCGAGAGCCAGUGAACCACUGUAGGUGUUGUUCCUAUGAGAGCUAAAACACUACUAGGUCCGAACUCGGCGAGAGCGAGUGAACAACUGCCCAUUCUUCCUUUUCGAUUUUACACCAAGACUCAGUUCCUUUCUGAUUGGUUGAGAGAUGAUCACAUGAUCUUUUCCUAUUGGUCGACCUAUUUAGGUGCUGUCUUCUGAUUGGACCGCGGCUCUCUUUGGUGAAAGAUAUGGCCUGCCUGAUAUAUCCGAUUUCGUCAGGAAGUGUUGGGUAGCUUGACGCUUAUAACUUCGACGGAUAUUAGAUACGUCCUGUCUUUGCCGGAAAUAUUGGGUGUUAGCUUAACAUUUAUAACUUCUGGUCACCAGAUACAUCCUGCUUUGUCAGGAAGUAUUGAGUGCUUCUUGACUAAUAUAACUUCUGCGGUCACUAGAGACGUCCGGUCUUUGCCCCUGCAAUAUUGACACAGGGGUGCCAAGAAUAGUCGUGCCAGCUUUAGGCCUACUUCCUAUGUCUUAUUGCUACUUGCUUUCCUCCAGUUACCUUGUUCUUU